CUUUCCCUGCAUCGGAAAUAGAAAGCAGAUAGCAUUUUUGGCAACCAUUUUCUACGGGGAUUUUUAAGUCCCGAACAUACCUUGAGCCCAAACAAGCCAGUCUGUAGUAGGAUUUGGGAGAUCGUGGACGUCAGAGCCAGCUCUUUACACAUGAACUCCUGAGGGACGACGAGUCAGAAAGCAUGAACUUUGCCGAGGUUCAUUUUAGUGCUCAAAUGGCUGGUUUUCUGCACCAACGCCAUAUUCUGUCAUAAAUCAACUUCGUAUCACAGUUGGUUAAGACAAUCUCUUGAGCAACUAUGUCGGGGGGGAUUUGUCUGCUGGAGAAGGCUUUGAAACAACAGUUGCAAAGCACAGUGACGUGAUGAAAACACGACGAAGGUGCCGCGGGGUCUGCUUGUGAAACCCAGGACUGCGUCCUUCCCAUCACACCCUUCUGGGUCUGUGUCUACACUCCGUCCUGACUCUCUCCAUCUGCAUGAGGUUGAAGGGGUUCCCCACUGCUGAGCACCGAUUGAAUACUUCAGGAAAUCUGUUUUCCUUGAAAGUCUGACCCUAAGGAAAGCAGCCAGCUGCCUAGUAUUCGCACUUGAACUUUUUGCUGUUCUCCUUCUGUGCCAAGUUUUCAUUUUGCUGAUCGGAUGGAUGAACAGAACGGUAUUGGGGGUCCCCUCCUUAGCCCGGGACCCGGCAGACUUGAGGCUCUCAACAAAUGGCUCACGAAUGGACGAAGCAAAUCAGCGACCCAGUGCGUGAAUCCAUGCGGGGUCACUUAGGGUCCCUUACAGAACGAUGACCUGAACCCAGAGGGGAGUUUCCUGAAGGUUGAGGGGAAAUGGAGUCCUUGGGAGCCAUGAAGCUGAGCAAGUGGCCUGGCAGAAAGCCCUGGUGGGGUGGCUACCAAACCAUUAUGAGGAGCGACAGAAACCCCUCAUCGUGCUGCUGAAUUAAGGAGAAGACUCAACCUGGGUGAUCAUAAUGAAGAAAGAGUGCUCGAGAUUCUGGCCCAGACUGGUACAGAAUUUUCCACCUGCCUGUCUCCUCCCCAGAGCACACUCAAGAGAGUCACCAGCAUCCUUAAGGACACCCUCAUCACGUGUCUGAAACUCACGAAGGAAAUAGCAAGUCAACCCAGAGUUUCGCCUCCUCCCUGCUGCCCCCCAGGCCAGUGCCAGGGCAGAUGCAUCGUUGUCCUCGAAGUCAUGCAGGUAAUUGGCUCGUGGUAAAUACGGAAGAGAACACGUGUCUUCCACGGAAUCCUCUGGGCCCAGCUGCACAAUCAAACUAUAGCCAAGCUUCAUGUUCUUUUUAAUGUAAGGAAAACAAAACUAUUUCAGAUGUACUGUGAACACUUAACAUAUGCCCACAUCUGUGCCGUGGGCAUGACUUACACCAGCUUGGUGAGGUUGCAUUUUACAGAAAGGCAACUGAGCUCGAAGAAACCUGGUGUUGUGUUGGCAGCAGGAGGCCCAGACCCGGGUGGCAUGGGGCCCGCCCUUGAGUCUGCACCCUGGCCAAGGGGACGCCCUCCCUCGCUCUGAGCUCAGGGACUCCGUUGGUGGGCGGAGGUGUCCCCGCGCAGAGAUGCAGAGGUGCAGGCUGAGGAGGGGGGGGAGCACCAGACGCUGUGGGUGACAGCACAGUGCCCUUGGCUGAGUUAGAACAUUCUGGAACCACUGCCAGAUGGUUGGCUCUGCAAUUCUGAGUGCUGCUCACUUCUGGAUGACCUCUAGUGAGCCAGGCUUGUUUAUAGGACGGGAUAGCUGGUUGCCUGCCUCCGAAUCUGACAGAGAAAGAAUUCACUGCGCUAACCAAUCCCUGAGACGGCUCCUUGGGGGGGAGGGGGCUCAGACACGGCGACAUAAGUUGACUUUGUUUUUAAAACAGUUUUAGUUUCACAGACAAAUGUGAGGACAUCACUGCGGCCCCCCCCCCACGCCAGAUAGCGCACCGUUUCCCUAUAACUGACAUCUUGUGUUACUACAUUUGUUACCACUGAUGAAAACAUGUUGAAAAUGUAUUAUUAACUAAAACCCACUUUAUUCAGAC